rnacentral:rRNA from 1 species
UACGUAGGGUGCAAGCGUUGUUCGGAAUCACUGGGCGUAAAGGGAGUGUAGGCGGGAUUGUAAGUUAGGAGUUUAAUCCACGGGCUCAACUCGUGGCCAGCUUUUAAUACUGCGGUUCUUGAGUAUGGGAGAGGGCGAUGGAAUUCCAGGUGUAGCGGUGGAAUGCGUAGAUAUCUGGAAGAACACCAGUAGCGAAGGCGGUCGCCUGGCCCAAUACUGACGCUGAUACUCGAAAGCUAGGGGAGCAAACAGG